rnacentral:rRNA from 1 species
AUGGCCACCACCGUCCAACCCCACUCCCCGGACCCAACAGCCAUCACCACCACCCCUGCCCCUCCCCCUCCUCCUUCUCCACCUCGCCAGGAGAACCCGACCGCCGCGGGGGAAGGCGUAGAGAUCGCGGCGCUCGAUGAGCAGCCUGCCGCCGUCGCCGUCGCCGACAAGGGGAAGACGGCCCCCGGCGGCGGGAAGCUGGUGGCGGAGGCCAUGCGCAAGUGCGCGGCGCCCCGGUCGUCGCGCUACCACGGCGUGACGAGGCUCAAGUGGAGCGGCAAGUACGAGGCACACCUCUGGGACAACACCAGCCAGGUUGAGGGGCGCAAGCGCAAGGGCAAGCAUGUGUACUUGGGAAGCUAUGUUACUGAAGAGAAUGCUGCAAGGGCACAUGACCUUGCAGCCCUGAAAUAUUGGGGCAUAACUCAACCCACCAAACUAAACUUCAAUAUUUCUGAUUAUGCAAAAGAAAUUGAGAUCAUGAAGAGCAUGAAUCAAGAUGAAUUUGUGGCCUACAUAAGGAGGCAGAGUAGUUGUUUCUCAAGAGGAACAUCGUCAUACAGGGGUGUAACAAGACGAAAGGAUGGUAAAUGGCAAGCACGUAUUGGUAGGAUUGGUGAGAGUAGAGACACUAAAGACAUCUAUCUUGGGACCUUUGAAACUGAAGUGGAGGCAGCUGAAGCGUAUGACCUAGCAGCAAUUCAGCUCCGUGGUGUUCAUGCUGUGACCAACUUUGAUAUCAGCAACUACUCCGAAGAAGGUUUGAAGAAACUAGAAGGCUCAUCUGAGGUAGUGAACCUGGAGGACCAAUCAGAAGUCACUAAGUUAGCUGUGACCAACUUGGAUAUUAGCAAACACUGCGAAGAUGGUUUGAAGAAACUAGAUGGCGCAUCCCAGGUAGUGAACCUGGAGGGCCAAUCAGAAGUCACCAAGUUAUCUGUGACUAACUUUGAUAUUAGCAACUGCUGUGAAGAUGGUUUGAAGAAACUAGAAGGCUCAUCCGAGGUAGCGAACCUGGAGGACCAAUCAGAAGUCACAAAGUUAGCUGGACAAUAG